rnacentral:rRNA from 1 species
AGAGUCUGAUCCUGGUUCAGGACGAACGCUGGCGGCGCGCCUAACACAUGCAAGUUGAACGAGCGAGAGAGAGCUUGCUUUCUCAAGCGAGUGGCGAACGGGUGAGUAACGCGUGAGGAACCUGCCUCAAAGAGGGGGACAACAGUUGGAAACGACUGCUAAUACCGCAUAAGCCCACGGCUCGGCAUCGAGCAGAGGGAAAGGGAGCAAUCCGCUUUGAGAUGGCCUCGCGUCCGAUUAGCUAGUUGGUGAGGUAACGGCCCACCAAGGCGACGAUCGGUAGCCGGACUGAGAGGUUGAACGGCCACAUUGGGACUGAGACACGGCCCAGACUCCUACGGGAGGCAGCAGUGGGGAAUAUUGCACAAUGGGGGAAACCCUGAUGCAGCGACGCCGCGUGGAGGAAGAAGGUCUUCGGAUUGUAAACUCCUGUUGUUGAGGAAGAUAAUGACGGUACUCAACAAGGAAGUGACGGCUAACUACGUGCCAGCAGCCGCGGUAAAACGUAGGUCACAAGCGUUGUCCGGAAUUACUGGGUGUAAAGGGAGCGCAGGCGGGAAGACAAGUUGGAAGUGAAAUCCAUGGGCUCAACCCAUGAACUGCUUACAAAACUGUUUUUCUUGAGUAGUGCAGAGGUAGGCGGAAUUCCCGGUGUAGCGGUGGAAUGCGUAGAUAUCGGGAGGAACACCAGUGGCGAAGGCGGCCUACUGGGCACCAACUGACGCUGAGGCUCGAAAGUGCGGGUAGCAAACAGGAUUAGAUACCCUGGUAGUCCACACUGUAAACGAUGAUUACUAGGUGUUGGAGGAUUGACCCCUUCAGUGCCGCAGUUAACACAAUAAGUAAUCCACCUGGGGAGUACGACCGCAAGGUUGAAACUCAAAGGAAUUGACGGGGGCCCGCACAAGCAGUGGAGUAUGUGGUUUAAUUCGACGCAACGCGAAGAACCUUACCAAGUCUUGACAUCCUGCGACGCACAUAGAAAUAUGUGUUUCCUUCGGGACGCAGAGACAGGUGGUGCAUGGUUGUCGUCAGCUCGUGUCGUGAGAUGUUGGGUUAAGUCCCGCAACGAGCGCAACCCUUAUGGUCAGUUACUACGCAAGAGGACUCUGGCCAGACUGCCGUUGACAAAACGGAGGAAGGUGGGGAUGACGUCAAAUCAUCAUGCCCUUUAUGACUUGGGCUACACACGUACUACAAUGGCGUUAAACAAAGAGAAGCAAGACCGCGAGGUGGAGCAAAACUCAGAAACAACGUCCCAGUUCGGACUGCAGGCUGCAACUCGCCUGCACGAAGUCGGAAUUGCUAGUAAUCGCAGAUCAGCAUGCUGCGGUGAAUACG